CAGGGAAUCUUCGGCAAUGGACGAAAGUCUGACCGAGCAACGCCGCGUGAGUGAAGAAGGUUUUCGGAUCGUAAAACUCUGUUGGUAGAGAAGAACGUUGGUGAGAGUGGAAAGCUCAUCAAGUGACGGUAACUACCCAGAAAGGGACGGCUAACUACGUGCCA
rnacentral:rRNA from 1 species